UACGUAGGGGGCAAGCGUUGUCCGGAAUCAUUGGGCGUAAAGCGCGUGUAGGCGGCUUGGUAAGUCCGUUCUGAAAGCCCGGGGCUCAACCCCGGGAGGCGGAUGGAUACUGUCAAGCUUGAGUCCGGAAGAGGCGAGUGGAAUUCCCGGUGUAGCGGUGAAAUGCGUAGAGAGUCGGGAGGAACACCAGUGGCGAAGGCGGCUACCUGGACCAGCACUGACACUGAGGCACGAAAGCGUGGGGAGCAAACAGG
rnacentral:rRNA from 1 species